UAAUCAUGGGAGGACAGUCCAUCUGGAAUAACAUACAAGAGGUGUUACUUCCGAUUCUGGGAGCAAAUGGAGAAGGACAGUGAUGCCGUGAUCCAGGCCCCCUCUGGGGUCUCCCCAGCACUUGGAUCGGCACCUGGUAUAAAGUAGGUCUCAGUCCGAGCCAGCUGAGUGAGAACAGGAAACUCAUGAAUGAAAUAGAUUAAGAGAAUCAAAGAUACUUGUAUUCAAGAAUAGCAAGUGGGAGUGUCCUCAACAGAAA